AAAAAAUAUUUUGGAAUUUGGUUUUGUUUUCGGAUCAAAUGGGUUUUGGUGGACUGAACCGAGCCGAUUUAUUUGCGGAACGACUCGAAAUAGUUGUUCUUUGCGGAAAAUGUGCCAUCAAAAUAGUUACGGAAGGAAACGCAAGCAUGGGAACCGUAAAUUUAUUCACCAAUAUUCAUCUUAUCGAUCUGGGUAAGCGAUGCUUCUGAUACCACCAAAUCAACCUCCGGAUUGCUGCUCGUUCAUCACAAUGGACCUGGUAAAACACCGCCGAGUAGAGAAAUUCAAAAAAAAAAAAUCAACAUCCCGGCACGGUAGCUGCUGAAGGCCUAAGGAACUGCAUGCAUAGAGGAAUGAAGGAAAAAAAAAAGGCUGCGACAAAAGUUCACCCAGGCAGAACCAAAACCGAUGGUCAUCUUCAAGCUGCUGGACUAACUGGAAGACAUUUGGAUUGCACGAUGGAGUCGCCGGC